GAUGAACGCUGGCGGCGUGCCUAAUACAUGCAAGUCGAGCGAACGGAUGAGAAGCUUGCUUCUCUGAUGUUAGCGGCGGACGGGUGAGUAACACGUGGAUAACCUACCUAUAAGACUGGGAUAACUUCGGGAAACCGGAGCUAAUACCGGAUAAUAUUUUGAACCGCAUGGUUCAAAAGUGAAAGACGGUCUUGCUGUCACUUAUAGAUGGAUCCGCGCUGCAUUAGCUAGUUGGUAAGGUAACGGCUUACCAAGGCAACGAUGCAUAGCCGACCUGAGAGGGUGAUCGGCCACACUGGAACUGAGACACGGUCCAGACUCCUACGGGAGGCAGCAGUAGGGAAUCUUCCGCAAUGGGCGAAAGCCUGACGGAGCAACGCCGCGUGAGUGAUGAAGGGCUUCGGAUCGUAAAACUCUGUUAUUAGGGAAGAACAUAUGUGUAAGUAACUGUGCACAUCUGGACGGUACCUAAUCAGAAAGCCACGGCUAACUACGG
rnacentral:rRNA from 1 species